rnacentral:rRNA from 1 species
AUUGAACGCUGGCGGAAUGCUUUACACAUGCAAGUCGAACGGCAGCACGGACUUCGGUCUGGUGGCGAGUGGCGAACGGGUGAGUAAUAUAUCGGAACGUGCCCAGUCGUGGGGGAUAACGUAGUGAAAAUUACGCUAAUACCGCAUACGAUCUAAGGAUGAAAGCGGGGGAUCGCAAGACCUCGCGCGAUUAGAGCGGCCGAUAUCAGAUUAGGUAGUUGGUGGGGUAAAGGCCCACCAAGCCGACGAUCAGUAGCUGGUCUGAGAGGACGACCAGCCACACUGGGACUGAGACACGGCCCAGACUCCUACGGGAGGCAGCAGUGGGGAAUUUUGGACAAUGGGCGCAAGCCUGAUCCAGCAAUGCCGCGUGCAGGAUGAAGGCCUUCGGGUUGUAAACUGCUUUUGUACGGAGCGAAAAGGCUCUCUCUAAUACAGGGGGCUCAUGACGGUACCGUAAGAAUAAGCACCGGCUAACUACGUG